rnacentral:rRNA from 1 species
CGAUUACUGCCUAGUGAAUCUGCCGGGCAGUGGGGGACAACGUUUCAAAAGGAACGCUAAUACCGACAUACGUCUCUACGGGUAGAAAGCAGGGGACCUUCGGGCCUUGCGCUAACUAUGAGCCUAUGUCGGAUUAUCUAUCUGGUGGGGUAAUGGCUCACCCUCGCGACGAUCCGUUAGCUGGUCUGANGAGGAUGAUCACCCACACGGGAACUGAGACUCGGCCCAAACUCCUACUGGAGGCAGCAUGGGGGAAUAUUGGACAAUGGGCGAACCCCUGAUCCAGCUUGCCGCGUGUGUGAAGAAGGUCUUCCGAUUGUAAACUACUUUAAGUUGGGAGGAAGGGCAGUAAACUAAUACCUUGCUGUUUUGACGUUACAGACACAAUAAGCACCGGUUAACUCUGUGCCAGCACCCGCGGUAAUACAGACGGUGCAAGCGUUAAUCGGAAUUACUGGGCGUAAAGCUCGCGUACGUGGUUUGUUAAGUUGGAUGUGAAAGCCCCGGGCUNNACCUGGGAACUGCAUCCCAAACUGGCAAGCUAUAGUACGGUAGAUGCUGGCGGAAUUUCCUGUGGAUCCNUGAAAUGCGUAGAUAUACGAAGGAACACCGANGGCCAAGGCGACCACCUGGACUGAUAUCUGACACUGAUGUGCGAUAGCGUGGGGAGCAAACCGGAUUGGAUACCCUGGUAACUCACGCCGUAUACGAUGUCUACUACCCUCUGGAAUCCUUGAGAUAUUACUGGCGCAUCUAACGCAUUAAAAUCGACCGCCUGGUGAAUACAGCCGCCAGGUAANACUCNNAUGAAUNGACUNGGGCUCGCACAAGNAGUGCAGCAUGUGGUUUAAUUCGAAUNACGACUAACACCUNACNNGCCUGNNCUGCAGAUNCUUUCCNGAGAUGNAUUGGUGCUUUCCGGAACUCUGACUCAGAGCUGCAUGCUUUCGUNACUCCNUCUGNCNNGUNNGUAGUCCAUCGA